GAUGAACGCUGGCGGCGUGCCUAAUACAUGCAAGUCGAGCGAACAGAUGAUGAGCUUGCUCCUCUGACGUUAGCGGCGGACGGGUGAGUAACACGUGGAUAACCUACCUAUAAGACUGGGAUAACUUCGGGAAACCGGAGCUAAUACCGGAUAAUAUAUUGAACCGCAUGGUUCAAUAGUGAAAGACGGUUUUGCUGUCACUUAUAGAUGAAUCCGCGCCGCAUUAGCUAGUUGGUAAGGUAACGGCUUACCAAGGCAACGAUGCGUAGCCGACCUGAGAGGGUGAUCGGCCACACUGGAACUGAGACACGGUCCAGACUCCUACGGGAGGCAGCAGUAGGGAAUAUUCCGCAAUGGGCGAAAGCCUGACGGAGCAACGCCGCGUGAGUGAUGAAGGUCUUCGGAUCGUAAAACUCUGUUAUUAGGGAAGAACAAAUGUGUAAGUAACUAUGCACGUCUUGACGGUACCUAAUCAGAAAGCCACGGCUAACUACGUG
rnacentral:rRNA from 1 species